rnacentral:rRNA from 1 species
GACGAACGCUGGCGGCGCGCUUAACACAUGCAAGUCGAGCGAAGCGGCGGACGGGUGAGUAACACGUGAGUAACCUGCCUUAGACAUUGGGAUAGCCUCGGGAAACCGGGAUUAAUACCAAAUGGUCUAAGAUGGGCUCGCGUCCCAUUAGCUAGUUGGUGGGUAACGGCCCACCAAGGCGACGAUGGGUAGCCGGCAUGAGAGGGUGAACGGCGACAUUGGAACUGAGAAACGGUCCAAACUCUACGGGAGGCAGCAGUGGGGAAUAUUGCAAAAGGGAGGGAACUCUGAUGCAGCGACGCCGCGUGAACGAAGAAGGCGUUCGAGUCGGAAAGUUAGUUUAUAUGGGAAGCGGUACCAUAAGAAAAAGCCCCGGCUAACUACGUGCCAGCAGCCGCGGUAAUUC